rnacentral:lncRNA from 12 species
UUGGGCCCAGUGGCUGAAGGGUUGGGAUUUGAAAGGAAGGGUGCCAGUAUCACUUUGUACCUGGACCGUCAGACAAAGUUCAUCGUUGUUUUGAUUUAUUUCGGUUUUGUUUAUUAGUUUUAAUGUUGGUUUGGGUUUUUUUCUGCAAAGUGAUUGGCACAGUUCCUGGUCCAUUCAAUGUACCCGGUAAGUGUUUUGUUACCUUCAUUUCGUUUCCUGCCACACUCAGUGAGCAUUUUCUUCUGGAAAUAAGAAAAUAGGGAUUGAGAAAAACUGAGAGCUGGAAUGAAAGCGGGGUUGUUGACACAGUUAUGUGUUCUUGGGGAGGAAGCAGCAGAGGUGCAGGGGAGCACUCGCUCCCUAGCCGAUGGCUCUGAUGAGUUACAGGAACAAGAGAUCACGUCUCAGCCCUGUCUCUGGGGAAGCUGGGUACACCUUCUCCGUUUACAACCCAGCAGGGAGAUCUCAAGAGGGGAAGGAUUUUCAUUUGACAUCGGACUCUGGAAGGAACAGGAACCCCGAGGCUUUGCAAACUAGUGGCAAACCAGACACUUCCUUCUGGAUCCUUUUUUUUUUUAAUUUUUUUUUUAAUUUUUAUUUAUUUAUGAUAGUCACAGAGAGAGAGAGAGAGGCAGAGACACAGGCAGAGGGAGAAGCAUGCUCCAUGCACCGGGAGCCCGAUGUGGGAUUCGAUCCCGGGUCUCCAGGAUCGCGCCCUGGGCCAAAGGCAGGCGCCAAACCACUGCGCCACCCAGGGAUCCCCCUUCUGGAUCCUUUUGCAUUUUAUUAGUUCUAUAGCUCAUGCUCUUCCCUCGUCCCUCCCCUUGCACCCCCCUCUCCACCAACUCUUCUUUCUCCCUGAAUUUCUUGUUCCACAUGUGAACUUCAAGGAGAAUGCACUCCAUGUGUUUCUCAUUGUUUUGCACUGAACUCCCCAGAAGAUGACUCUGUUAAGUUCCAUCGGCCCCACCUAGGCCCCCCGACCCCAUCAUUUCAACCAAGAGGUUCAAACAUCACCAAGUCCGCACUAGAGGACAGGGGUGUCUGCUUCCAUGCGGGCUUCAAGGCUGAGAGACCCUGCUGCCACCGGCGUGGAGGGGGGCCUCGGCUCUGCUCCUCCAAGCGGCCCCCCAGUGGGGCUCCAAGCACCCACGAGCCUCCCGGGAGGAAUGUGUGUCUUCUUUGUCUGCUUCUGUCCCCCUCCAAACCUCUCCGUCAGUGCUGUACAGCUGUGUUUCUGUGAAAACAAGGGCGCCAGCGAAGAGAAAAACACUGUUUAUGAGGCUGCCUAGAUUGGGGAGUCAUAUAAUUUCAAUAGCCCUGAGAUAUACACAGCUGACUACUUAUGCAAAUUUCAGACAUCGUGUUUGAACAAAAGGUUGCACAGUAACAUAACCUGGAGCUUUUAUUACUAAUGAGGCACUUAUUUCCAUUUGAAUACAGAAGGGUGUAUUUUUCCCCCCUUUUUACGGCUUCUCAUAAUUGUGUCUAAUAAUAUAAAAAUAACAUUGGGUCGUCGUCUCCACAAGGCUUAGACAUCAGAUGCACACUCGUGUCGCUCCAGUCGUCAGGAGAAUGUGACGCCGUGCUGAUUGCAGACGCUCGGCCCAGGUGCCUCUUUGGAAUGAGAAAUCCCAUUAACUUUGCUCUCCUCCGAGUGUUCCUUAGGCGUGCUUUAAAAAUUCAGGGUAAUAAUAAGAAGGAAAGAUGGUAAAAAAGAAAAAAAGAAAAAAAAAGGCCACGUUUGGUCUUUAUUAUCAAUUAGGUAAGGUGUUCUUGGCACAGAUUAAUGGCAGUGUUCUCCCCUCCAGAGUGAUUUGUGGCUUGGUUUUGGCUACAGAGAGUGAGAACUGAUAAACGGGAGAGUUUCUUAACAUGAUAGAUAUUCCACAGGUGCACCCAUCGUGCUGCAGUGAACUUUAUUCAGUGAAUAAAAUAAAUAAGAGAGGCGACUGAAUAUAUAAA